AUGUCUCUGUGGCGCAAUCGGUUAGC
rnacentral:piRNA from 2 species